GGUCCAUAAAAGCCUGACAACAUCAAGUCACCGAGGGGCUCGCACACAGUGUGCCGAUGGGGAGGAGGAGAAAGGCACAGGGGCUUUCUCCCAGCCCGUGCCACCGGCCUCGCACCCACCUGUCCCUGGGGUCGAUCCAGCUGGUCUGCUUGGUGUUGUGGUCGAUGUAGAAGACUUUGCCGUCGUAAUCCCUCGCCUCCUCCCAGCCAUCGGAAACACCAGCAGAGAAUACGUAUAUACUGUGUGCACAGAACCAUCCCGGCCUGAAAAGCAGCCGCCUACGUUGCAUUAAGUAUAGAAAGCAGGUGUGAGUUACUCUACGUUUAUCUCAUGUUUGCCACAGGAGAAGAGUAUGUGAGGCUAGUUACCAUGGCUCGGCUGAUAGAAGGCUAGGAGAAAAAAAUGAAAAUUUGGAACACAAGAAUGGAGGUUGCUGAACCCAGAAACAGGUGUACAUAGAAGAAAAUCACAAGAAAUUACACGUUUUGAGUCCUUGAAGGCAUAGUUUUCUAAUCCCAUACAUCUGAAAAUAAGUGCACAGAAGAAUUUUAACUGAUUGUUAGUCAGAUUAAAAGUUUAGGGUAGGUAGAGUAGAAAUUAUGUGGUAAUAGUAUUGCCUGAAGCUUAACUAGGGAAAUGUGAGUAAUGUUUUCAUGAUAAAAAUCUUAACUCAGCCCUCUUUAAACCACUCAUUAAAACUAACUCAGCAUUCAGUUCUGUUAACUCUGAUCCAUACUGCUGAAAUAUCAGCAAUAUUGCUGUGGACAACAGAAAAAGAAGACGGAUAAUUUUUGUUGUUCCAAAACCCCUAAGCUUGAUGAGGUCCAAAUUAACCUCUGAGGUUAAUCAGAGAGGUUAAUGAGAGUUUCUUGACGCAAUCUUGGUACAUAUUCUUGAUGUUAUAUCUUCCAUAGUCUCAGUGUAUUUUUUUUUUAAAUGAUCUCUCUCAUGCAUACAAAUUUAACUUUCCUACAUUUCAUUGUAUCUGUGGAAUUGCAGUGUCUUUCACUGCUGUCUAAUGGCUUUGGAGAAUCACAAAGGCAUGCCCAGUCAGCCAAGGAGGUUCUCAAGAGCUUGGCCUUCUCUUUUGGCCAUGUAGGGCAGAAAUAGACCAGCAGUAGAGGGACUCAAUGAAGAAUGAAAAAGUUUCCCAACAUCAGCUCCUUUGGUGAACAGCAACUAAUUUCUUCAAGUAGUUAAGAUACUCCAACAAGAUUUACAGAGCUAAUGCUUUUAACAGUCCCUUUCUACUGGUACAAGGAGUAAGAGCUCCCGCCACGGCGAGAAGAGUCUGCUGUGUUGUAUCUAAAGGAGGCAAUGGAUGAAAUACAAAAAGGAAUGUUUUAUCAAUAACAUUCUCAAGUAUUACUCUCUUCUGUAUCAUCCAUGUACUUUCAGAAACACAGUGCAGUGAUGAAGUGGACUGGAUUAAUUGCUUGAGUAUUUAAGAUUUGCAUUACAAAAAAGUGAUCUGACUGAUUAAGAGAGUUAAAGAACCUGUUUUCAUAACAAAUGAAAAGUAUUUUUCAAAACACAAAACGAGUACAAACCCAGCAAACUUCUAUAUGAAAAAAAUGCUUCUUUUCUCUUCCACCUACUUCCCACCUCUUUUUUCCCUUCAAAAAGUGCAGUUUCUUUGCAUGAAUGCAAGGUAUUUUGACUUCUGUCCUGGCAAACACCAAACAAACCCCAAUUCUGAUUGCUAACAGAGGCUAAAAACUAUGUUGCAAAAAUAAAAUCUGUUCAAAUCUGUAGCAAGAAUGAGACUGAUGCAUCAACACCAAGAUUUAGCACUUCUGGACUGCUAGAGGUGUUGCUGAGUUGUGCUAAUCAUCCCAUGGCAAUUUUCAUUCCAGUCUGGUAUCUAAAACCCAGAAUCCCAAUAAAAAGUUUUCAAGAUCACAGCAUGGUAUUACUACCUUCACUUUGUGGUGGACAUACCAAAAGAGAUGUGUUAAGUGACUUGAUGGAGUAAAAAAUACCUAAAUGAAAUAGGAUAGGAAUGAGAACAUGUGAUGCUUUCAGCUCCUGAGCUGAAUCUGUCGAACUGUACUGUGUCAUUUUUAUUAAUUCAAUAUGUGCUCUCGAAAACACUUAGGAUAAGCUUUCUUAUCACAAGGAAAAGAUUAGAAUUCAUACAAAAAUUCCUUUUAUUUUGAAUCUAAUUCCCAGGUAAAAUAUGGUGUAUAAAAGCUAUAAAGUCCAUAUGGUGAAACGUAUGUUAUGAAAUACCCAUGUCCACAUAUAAGACACAUUACACUAUUCCUACAGCUCUCUCCUUUGAAUUUUUUUGGUGGAACAACAUUACAAAAGCAUGAAUUGCUAUACUUGUAUGUUCAUAAAUGAAAUGCAGUAAUAAAGAAACAACUUCCAACAGUGUAAAAGAUUACAAUAGAUAAUAAUUCAAGGAAAAUAGUUCAAAGCUAGGCAAAGUCUGCAAAAUUUAAGUAUUAAAACAUAAUCCUUGGACUGAAAUAUCAGAGCUGUUGCUGAUAAUCAGCUGUUUUGUAAAGGUGUGAAUGUAAAACCUAAGGAUAUACAGUUGAUGCUUACAGCUGAGGAAUCACAGGAUGGUUGAGGUUGGAAGGCACCUCUGGAGGUCAUCUGGCCCAACCACCCUGCUCAAGUAGGAGCACCUAGAGCACAUUGCCCAGGUGGCUUUGGAAGAUCUCCAAGGAUGGAGACUCCACAACUUGUGUGGGCAACCUGUGCCAGAGCUUGGUGAUGCUCACAGUGAAAAGGUGUUUCCUGAUGUUCAGAGGGGAACUACUGUGUUUGAGUUUGUACACAUGGCCUCUUGUCCUGUCACUGGGCACCUCUGAAAAGUUCCUUGCUCUGUCCUCUUCACACCCUCCCUUCAGGUAUUUGUAGACAUUGAUAAGAUCCUCCCAGAUCCUUCUCUAGGCUGAACAGUCCCAGAUCUGUCAGCCUUUCCUCGUAGGAGAGAUGCUUUAGUCUCUUUGUUAUAUUCAUGGCCCUUUAUUGGACUCUCUCCUGUAUGCCCGGGUCUGUCUUGUACCGGGGAGCCCAGAACUGGGGACAACACUCCAGGUGUGGCCUCACCAGUGCUGACUGGAGGAGAAGAAUCACCUCCCUCGACCUGCUGACAACACUCAUCCUACCACAGCCCAGGAUGCUGCAAGGACACCUGCUGGUUCAUGGCCAGCUUUUUGUCCACCAGGACCUCCAGGUCUCUUUCUGCGGGGCUGUGUUCCAGCUGGUUGGCCUGGAACAUGUAAUUAUGCAUGAGAUUAUUUCUCCCCAUGUGCAGGACUUUGCACUUGCCUUUGCUCAACUUCAUGAGGUUCCUGUUAGCCCUACUUUAAAGAACACAGAAGAGUGGCGCAUAAUUCAAACAUACCAAAACAAAUAAAGUGCUAUGCUGCAAAUAUGCUUCUUGAAUUCUAGAGCAGAAGUGUCCCAGCAAGUGAGCCCCUGGAUGUUUAGACUCAGUGCUGAUUUCCUUUUUGGUCUAGCUAGGCAAUUAGAACAAGAGUUACAGGGAAAGAGCUGUACUCAGGUUAUAUGUAACCACUAGCUAUAGGUUUCAAGAUGCUGUUAAGAGAAGACAAAGUUCUGACCAAUAAAAAUGUAUAUUUUUAAAGUUUAGGUUGUUCUCAUAGGUCAUGAACAGAUUAAUGCAAGCUUUUGUUUGUUUUGGUAAGAGGAGGAAAAGAAAUAUGCUGGGGCAGGGGAGAAGAAAGUAAGGUGUUGCUUAUUAAAAGAGAUUUCCUUGAGUCAAAGCAAUCCCUAAAGGAAAUCAUGUUUCAAAAAAAAAAAAAUCUCAAAAAGAACAUAGAAAAUUCUCAGAAGCACAUAUGUGCAGAUUUUGUGUGUCCAUAACACCACAUCAAAUAUUAACAUUUUUCUGCAUAUAUCUCUGAGACAUCUUUUUCAGUGUCUCACUGUCAAUGAAGAAAAGGUACAAACAGAGAAAACUUGAUGGCUUCAGAACACUGCUGUAAUGAACCUCUAGUGCUACUCCUGCCCUUCAUCCUAAAAGCCAUGAAAGAAAAAGUAGUCUACAGUGCCUUUUAAUGCAGCAGAGGCAUCUUGGAAGUCAGUUUGUUUAAUCUCCCUUCUCAAUAUUCCACAUCUGUGGAAUACACGUCUCUAGCCAUCUCAUUUUAAUAACAUAUUCUAAUCCAUUAAACUCGCUCUGGUAAGCUUGCAGUGAACCAUGACGUUUCCAAAUCAAAGUAAAAUCAAAGGCCUUAAACCAGACUGCAGAGCUAAAAUUCUCUUUCAUAUCCCUUUCACUUUAUUUACAGAAGACUCAUAUGUUCAAAUAUACCAAAUCAUCCUGACAGAAUAAUUAUGAUGUCUUGUCAUGUCAUAUUUUUGGAAACAAUGUCGAAUAAUGAACUGAAGAACCUGCAGAAAACUAAGAAAUAGC